GAGGGGUCGGGCACCUCCUGAGAGGUGGACCUGGUCCCCCAUGUCCAGCCCCUGUGGGAGUGGGAGGGGCGGUGGGCGGGCUCAGCACUCUUCCUGCUCUGCGACCUUAAGCAAGGAUGGCAGCCCCCGGCCACGUGUGACCACGGAACACUCGGAAUGUGGCCCAUCCGACUUGAGGCUGAGUCUUAACGUGAAUUAUCAGGAAAUCCAUCAAACGUGGACAAAGGCGAGUCCCGGUUUCUAUGUGCAAGGUUCCUCUUUCUGAUCUCACCACUGGCGGUGGUGCGUGCUCUGAUUACUGGGUGAUGGGGGUUCUGAUUACGGACACCCAGCUGCUCGUCAUAUUUAUGGCCCACUUGUGCCAGCCUUCGCUCAUUCAGAUCCAUCUUGCUGAAAAAUUCAGGCAUUUACUCCUUAA